rnacentral:rRNA from 1 species
UACGUAGGGUGCGAGCGUUGUCCGGAAUUAUUGGGCGUAAAGAGCUUGUAGGCGGUUUGUCGCGUCUGCCGUGAAAUUUCGAGGCUCAACCUCGAACUUGCGGUGGGUACGGGCAGACUAGAGUGUGGUAGGGGAGACUGGAAUUCCUGGUGUAGCGGUGAAAUGCGCAGAUAUCAGGAGGAACACCGAUGGCGAAGGCAGGUCUCUGGGCCACUACUGACGCUGAGGAGCGAAAGCGUGGGGAGCGAACAGG